CCAAUUUCAUGAAAUGCACCCCUGUGUUUUUUGGUUAUUGGAUUUUUCUGGCUGGACAAAAAUCAGCACUGGAUUUAUCCUGCAGCCCACUAACCAAAUUCCAGUUUACACCAUCCUUUUACCCUUCACACCCUAUUUCCCUUUUAUUUUUUUUUUAUUUUCUUUUGGUUUUAGAUUUUAAUUAGGAUAACUAGGAUAAUAUUAGAUUAAUUAGGGUGGUAAAUCUUGAU
rnacentral:lncRNA from 1 species